rnacentral:rRNA from 1 species
GACGAACGCUGGCGGCGUGCUUAACACAUGCAAGUCGAACGGAAAGGCCCUGCUUUUGUGGGGUGCUCGAGUGGCGAACGGGUGAGUAACACGUGAGUAACCUGCCCUUGACUUUGGGAUAACUUCAGGAAACUGGGGCUAAUACCGGAUAGGAGCUCCUGCUGCAUGGUGGGGGUUGGAACGUUUCGGCGGUUGGGGAUGGGCUCGCGGCUUAUCAGCUUGUUGGUGGGGUAGUGGCUUACCAAGGCUUUGACGGGUAGCCGGCCUGAGAGGGUGACCGGCCACAUUGGGACUGAGAUACGGCCCAGACUCCUACGGGAGGCAGCGGUGGGGAAUAUUGCACAAUGGGCGGAAGCCUGAUGCAGCAACGCCGCGUGCGGGAUGACGGCCUUCGGGUUGUAAACCGCUUUCGCCUGUGACGAAGCGUGAGUGACGGUAAUGGGUAAAGAAGCACCGGCUAACUACGUG